CAGUGAUCGGAAAUGUCUUGCCCAAGCCCCAUUCCCACUGGAAAAAGUCAAAAGGGUUCCUGGCAUUAACACGACCUUGCGUCAUUCCUGAUGAAAUUAGCAGAGCUACUUGUUUAGAGCUUUGCUAAGGAUGCACUUUGGUGACAGUAAGAAGUAAGAAAUUUGGGGUUUAACCCCACAUCUGAGCAGGAUCUGUCUGCUUUCACUAGCUGCAAAGCCUGAGACCAGCACUUGAAAGCGCUUUAGACCCGCAGUCCAUUUUUCACUUGUCUUUAAGUGCAAGCGAUGGGAAUUGCUAACCUCGGCUAAGAAAAUUUCAUUUUCCCCAUCUUGCUAAACGGUUCUGGUCGACAUAUGUUUGUUAUCAGAGAGAGGUGCUAUGAACACAGAGCCAUUUUCUUAGCAGCUCUUUGACUCUGUGUUACCAUAGUCCCACACGGCAUUGGUCCUUUCCCGUUGGGAAGUCAUGAAUAAGAGACUAUGAAGCUUGCACGUCAGAUCUUCCUCAAUUAAUCCACCAUUAGCAUGUUCGGGAUCCUCUACUGGAUGGUUAACAGCAGCAUUGGUAACUGUAUGCUGUCCAUACCCAAUUAUGCUCUGCUAAAAAUGAACUCUGCAGAAGAACCUUCCUGAGCUGUCAGUGUCUCCCGUUUUCCUAUUUUAACGCUUGUGUGUAGUGGCAGGCGACAGAUGGUGUAGAUCAGAUCGAUUUGAUUGCAUUAGGCGAUUUUUUUUUUCCUCCUCUCUCCCCCCGACUCCUUUUCUGGAAGCCCACAUUCAUCUGAGAGGCGAUCGCCGGGGACAUGGGAAGCAAGAGCAGCCGCCGAUGUGUGAAAGCAACGAGACAUGGCCAGCCAGAGGCGCCGGGGUCCCUUCACGGGGUUUGUUAACAUGGUAAUCCGGCACCAGGAGAGAAAGCUGCUUUCUGCUGCCCAGAGCCCAUUCCCCAUCACACAUCAGAUGACUCCCUGGCUUUACACACAGUUGGAGUUCUGCUCGAAACGUGGAUUUAAAGGGUAAGCGCUUCAACGGAGGUGGAUUUCUGGUGGUUACUCGGGUAGGUGGCAAAAGGAGCGAUCUUCCAGCGAUUUUAGAAAGAGGCUCCCUUUGAGCGGGCAUGAAUAUUUGCUUCUUCCUUUCUUCUCUCUCUUUUUUUUUUUUUUUUCCCUGUGCCCCCUCCCCUUUCACCAGCGAGCCCCCUAAUUCAGAACAAUUUCUCACACGGAAAGACAUCGCGCCUCUCUAUUGACGGAUGGGAUCAAUAUUCCCCCCUCUGAAAUUUGCUUUUCGUGGCGAGCCCGAGCUCUGCUCAGACCUUCGCUCCUGAUAGCUUAAUUGUUUAAUUCCCUCCAUCCGAUCCCCUCCCUUCUGUGCGUGUGUGUGCGGUGUGCGCGUCCCCCUCCGCGGGCGCGGCGGAGGUGGCGGAGGUGCCCCCCGGGGCCCUUCGCUGGCCCCGCCGGGCUGGCGCUCCGGCACCCGGGCUCUUUUAGCGCGGCGCGGGGCGGCAGCGCCGAUAAACAUGGCUUUCCGGAGCCGGUGAACAAAGGAAUCUGUUGCUGCGUAUGACAUCUCUUGCAAGCUCCCAGAGAGAAUUGAUGGCGCAUACAGCUAGGGAAUAGGAUACCAGAGAAGCACAGAGGAAGAAUCCAGGCAAUCACCAGGAUGGGAAGGUUCAGCGUCCACUGGAUAUGGGACAAGAUCGCUUGGCAACCCUUGUGGAUUCUCCUUCUUCUGGAGGCGAAUUAUAGUUAUGGAUUUAUUGUCCCGGUGCAGCACUUCCACCACCAGUAGCAACAGCAGCAGCUUUCUGACUCUCUUCGGUGACGGGUAUUCUUGGGUGGAUAAUACGGAUUACGUUGUUAUUGCUUAAGAAUACGCGUAGUCGAGGAGAGUACCGGCGGCGGGCAGGCAGGCAGGCAGCGCGACCGCCCCCAGCCCACCAGCUGGCUCCUCACCUCCUCUAGUUGCCAAGGAUCAGAGUAGAUUCAGACUGCCUCCUCUGGGAGCACUGAUUCAUUUUCCUUCCCUUCUUCCCCUGUAAGUUAAAAUGCCUGUUGAUUUUAGUGUCUGUCUCCUUGGCUUACUCCCUGCUUGGCUCUAUUUCCCAUACCCCACAUGGCUUUUCAUAUGCCUGAAUCUUGCCCUGGGUUAUCUUUUCCUUAGUAGCCCACUGCAACCUCACAGAGUAGGACUGUGGUGCAGGAGCAGGAGCCUGGCAGUGGCUGGCAGCCUGUGAAACACUGCCAGGAGAGCAGGGAAGUUGGUUGAUGUCUUGGGUCUUGGUGAGAUGGUGGAGAAUCUGCUGCAGACCAGAAAAGACAGUCUCACUGUAGCCUGUUAGGGCACCAGUUAGACCAAGAUUUUAGAAAAAAGGGGCUUAAAAUCAGACACCUAGGCCUAUCUUUACACAGUCAGGUAGGACCAAUGUUGUUAUAAGCAGAUAUAAGUACUCCUAAGAGAUGAGACUGAUUGCAGUCUCAGGACAGACAGGCAUUGGCUGCACCAGCAUCCACAUGCUGCCAGAGUGACCAGAGCAGCCUUGUGCUGUGGGCAGCAGCUUGUCCACCUCAGCAGCACCAGGCUGCAUCUGGGCAGAAUCUGGGCAGAGCUUGGGGUAGCUCUGCUCUCCAUGUUUUAGCUCCAUGCCAGGCAGUGAACAGAGAAAAACAUCUUCAGAGAGGCAGUGUAGUGCAGUUCUUAUCAACUGACCAACAUUUUAAAGCCAGCAUCAUGGAGAUUGAAUCCCAUUGCCAUGGAAAAUACAGGUUAGAAAUUUAUUGCUUGGGGAGGGGGGGAAAUUGUGGGCAUUAGGUGGGCUCUGCAGUCAUGGCCCUGGGCACAGACAUUUAGCUGGCAGCCUGUUCCCAGGUACUGCACAGCCCUGUGUGCUCUGCUGAAUCUGGGAGGGUUGAAGCAUGUGCUCAACGAAAAGGGAUCCCAAAUGAGUAGUCACAUGGCCUUCAGGAGUCUCAGGCUAGGACUCACAGCACAAAGGGGACUCUUUGCUCAGGCUGUGCCCUGCAGUUAUUUGAAAAUGCAUGCUUUUUCUUUUAAUUCAUUAAAUACUUUGAUUCAGUGAUACACCUUCAGAAUGUGGUUUAUUCUGUGCAGUCAAAUGUUUACUGAGGAUGAUAAAAUACAUCCAACCUGCCUUUCUAGAGCUUCAUCUUUUACUUCAAAGGGAAGGCAUAACCUUUUGUUUCCUGGUGUAAUUUUUACUGAACCUCUGCCUACUUUAUUUAUCAGGCCACAUAUAAAUUUAUUACCACUUGUGUUUCCGAAUAAAAGACUCAUAGGUUGGUAAGUAGUCUAUAAGUCGAGCUUCCUUGAAACUCAUAAAAGGAUGAUUUUGAUCCAUGGAAUUGCUAAUUAAAGCUGCUUUUCAAUACCGAAAAAUUAAGUUAACAGUAAUUAAUGUAGCCAGCCUGGAACCUUAGGAAACUACUGCCAGCAAGUGUCUUUUGGUGCACUCAAGAGGAUGCAGUUUGAUUGUUGGCACCAACAGACAGGUUGGGAAUUGUAAACAUGGUAAUUAGCAGUAAGUUUCUGGAUCUCAACUUGCCAGACUGGCAGUCUGAUUCUUGGAAUAGUUGUCGCAUGGGAGUAGGGAAAAACAAAGUAAGGGAAUUAGAGUAACCUUGCAUUGCUCCACCAACAUAUGCCACUGGACCAAUGUUUUUCUUGGCAAAGAUCUCUGACAAAGCGCUUAGAAGCAGCAUUGCAGCCCUACUGCAAGCUGUGAAUCUCGCUGCAGGCAUCAACCAAGCAACUACCUCUGGCUCUUCUGUUUAAACUACAAGUGUUGCUCCAUGGUAAGGAAUUUCAGAGCCUGAGAUCCUUCCACUCCACCUCUGUGGUGGAGCACAGUGUUGAUAAGGUUAUCAACAAUAAUGGGAUUAAAAGAGUUAAAAUCCAGCUUUUGCAGUAAUCCUGGAGUAUUCUAUUGUUGAGCUAUCAAAGAUUAAGGUUAUAGUAACCUUAUUAAUCCUUGGUGUAGUGUAAAUAAAAAGGAAAUGUCAACCUUAAUUCCACCAUGAAAUUAAAUCUUUACUUCUCUAAAUGAUGAUUCAAACGCAGCUUACUGCAGCCAAUGUGGUUUAUGAAAAUGCAUAACCCAUGUGAAUUUAAGAAAUCCAAUCUGAGAAACAGAGAGAAGGGGGUGAUAAAACAUGACACUUCUUUUGUUUAAAAUGAAAAAAAAAAAAACAUUCAGCUUGUAUGUCCGCAGAAACUAUACCUAGAACCAAAAAAGUAUGGAAAGAACUAGGAAGGGACUGAAUGCUCAAGGUGUACAUCCAUGUGAGGCAGAGAAUGCAGCUGCCAGCCCACAGCAGAACAGCCACUCCUGUACCAGAGAGCAGCCACAGCACUGCUGGUGCUGCUCCAUUCCUGUCCUCUGCUUGCAGGACACUGCAUGGCCUUGUUAGUCAGUAUCAGGGACAGGGUGCCCUGACACAAGGGCUUAACUGAACAUUGAUCCACUUGUGCUUUCAGUGCCAGAGACAAUGUGAUGAAAACCAAAAAAUGUCAGAAGUGAAAUGAUUGCUGAACCUUCUGCAAACAGCAAGCCUUCACAGGUGCUGGUGUGAAGGGCAGACGUGAUUUCCAGAGGGGUGGGAGCUGCCUCUUUUGGUAAUGGAUGGCUUUCUCCUCACUUGUGCUGGGCACAGCCCCUACUCACCCUGCCCACAGAGGCUGAACCUAUAAGUAGGUCUGAAAUUGCCCUCUGGAACUAGCUAACUGAAGAGAAGGAAAGACAGACAGACAGAGUUUUUCUUAGAAGUCAAUGAAAUCUGUUCCAGGUAGAUCUGUGUAUCUUUGUGGAGAGCAGAUGGGGAAUUACAGUAAGCAGAAGUGGGCUAAGUACCCUUUAUUAUGCUUUUUUUGACUUGGAGGAGAAAUAGUGGUAAAAUGGGGUGAUUCAGAAUGAUUCUGCAUAUUAAGUAUCUCAGUCACUCACUCCAAGUGUAGGAGAGUGGUAGUUAAGUAUCAAGGAGCUGCCAAUAGAACUGAGCUCUCUGGAGGGCAAGAGGCAUUGCCAGAGAAUAAGAGAUGGUUUUGGGUUUUGGAGGGGCUGGGAAAGGGGCUUUGUCGCCUCAGCAAAACCCAUCUACCCCAUGGUUUCUGCAUGUCCUGGAAAUUACUGGGUUUGUGGACUGAUAGAGCUGGAGAGGGGGCAUGUUCUGCAUCUUCAUAUUGUUUGCUCCAUUUCUCAUAAACUCUGAUAAAGUUGCAUGAUGAAACUCAGGCUCAUAAAAGAACUCAUUUUAAGAUAGGUUUUUUUCUUCUUCACUCAGUGAAUCAUGCUCGUCUCUGGUGUGAAUUGUCACAGCUCCAGAGCGUGCACCAGUUCAGAUGUGCCCGCUGGGUCCUGGGCUGUCUCCAUCCCCUCCACAGCUGCGAUUGCUGCCACAAACACAAAUUGGCUCGCUCUGGCUCUUCUCGUCUUUCCGCAGCGUAGGAACAGAUAAUGGGCCCGUGGGGUUGUUCAGAAAUAUUGCUGGUUUCCAGUGCUAGCAUAAUGGUCCCUUCUAGGUAGUAUCCCUUUCCUGGACAAUUUCCCAGUAAAAUAGUAAAUGGCAACUGCAGAGCAGUAAAGGCAAUGGCGUAUUUGUUUGACUGACAUUUCCGAGCCUGCAGAGCAAAUGCAAUUAGGAUCCACAUUGUGCUGCAGUUUCCUUUCUUCAUUUCCGUGCCUUGGAAGAACUACUGUUAGGAUCAGCUUAAGUGUGGUCCCUGCUACCUUAGAGUGGUGGAGAUGCUCCAGGGAUGGAAGGCAGCGUGUUCCCAAGCCUGUGUGAGCACUUUUGCAUUGGGACCAGUCAGCACCUCAGAGGGCUCAGCUGGGACAGGAGCUGCUGCCACUCCCCUGCUGGCACUGCAGCCCCAGGCAAUAGUGAUUUUGUUAGUGGGUGUGCACUUCUUCUGGACUCAGCAGAGCUGACACCAGGGUGGCUCUGUGGCACCAGCCCUGCACUUCUCACUGGGCAGUAAUCUCUGUCCAUGCCCAUGAUUCUGUGCUGGGCAAAGCACCACAGUGUUUGGGCUACCCUGGCCUUCACCAGGGGCACCUGAUGGUUUAUUUGGAAUAUUGCAGGAUCAACAGCUUUGAGCACUUUGAUACAGACUUGGCAGCAGAAAGAAAUGUGAAAAAAACUGUUGAUAAUCAUUCAGAUUUGCCUGAAGGAGGUAAUUGAAAACAAAUUGCUACUAAGAGCCACGGCCAUGGUUAAUUGUGGUGAAGCACUGUGGGCCACUCACCUGUAGGAAAAGACUGCUAGAGGAUAAAUGGGGGUCAAAAUUGUUUCUGCCCUGGUGGAGAAAGAGGGUCUCAGUCAUAUAAUUUGGUUUAUAGGGUUAGUCUGUAGAUCCUAGAUUCUGAUAUGAAAAUCCAAGCCUGCAGAGAAAUGCUUUAAUGGCUGGAAAUAAUGCAGCCAGUGAUGGCAGGAGCAGCUGUGGCUGGCCUUGGUGGCAGGGGGAUGGCCAGGCUGUGUGGCAUCCCUUCUGCCACAGGCAGGUCCGAGCUGACCCCCGCAGGAGAGGCACAGGCAGAUGUCACAUCCCCGCUCAGCAGGAUGGAGUCUACAAUGUGCACAGAGCUUCACAGCCUGCUCCAGCUGUGAAUUUUACCUUUCAUGUGGAACAUUGCUGCCAUGCACUCUUCUAUUUUUUAGCAAAUUUAAACAUUGCAAUGUCUGCUGUUCCUGAUGCUUCUUGGAUGUCUGGACUCAGGCAGAUGCUGAUGCCUGUGUGAGCUAUGAAGUGUUUUGCACUGUGGGUCCUCUGGGCACAGGGUCAGAGAAAGCCAGGACAUGAGGUGGCAUUGAUCUGCUGCCUUGGGGUGACAGGAGGGGGUCUGCCCUUGCUGGGCAGUGGCUCCCCAGGACAAAACUUCUUUGUCUCUCAGAGAAGCUCUUUCCAAAAUGCUAUUGCAAGGAUUCAGGAGAUGAAAACAGUGAUAAAAAGGAUGAUACAAUUUUUACUAAAUUUCACUUUUUCUAGAUACUUUGAUUCAGAGUUCCUGCAGGGUAAAAAAAAAAAAAACAAAAAAAAAACAAAAAAAAAAAAACCAAAAAAAAAAACCUGCAGCUUCCUGUAUCUGGUGACAAAUUCCAUACCAGCCUCUUUCAGGACAGGUCCUUGCUCCAGGUUCUUGGAUAUUUGCUUUGUGCUCAGGGAACCAUGUAUAGGAGAACACUUCAGCCUGUGCUGCUGUGUUUGCUCCCUGUGCCAAGGUGCAAGUAUGGGAAAGACAGGACAGCAUGAAGAAUGGGAACCAAAGUUUCUUAAAGCAGUCUAAAUGCAGGGCAACCCUGCUGAGUUUGUGAUGUUACAUGAGCAUUGGCUGAAACAGCUCUGAGUGUUGGGCCACCCCAAUUGGAGCCUCAACUGCAGCAUUUCAAAAAGGACAUUAAAGCAUACACAUGUAGCACAAGUAUAAGAAUAUGAAAACCCCCAUCUAAUCUGAGAUAUGGGAAGAGCCAUCACCUGUCUCUCUUUGGAAGAGAGAGAUCCUUUGAUAGUUCAACAUACCCUUAUAUAGAAAACCAAAACAUGCUGAUCUGACUUAUUAUUGCUAUUAAUGACAGCAUUUGGGAAGUUUGGUAUUUUAGCCUUUUUUCUUCCUUUACAACAAAAUACCCAAGUGCUGUCCAUGCAGAAAAGCCUUUCCUCAAACAGUGAGGCUGGUGUGAUAAUGUUAGGGACAUGCAGUCAUGCUCCCCUCUGUGGGAGUCUUGCCUGCACAAGAGCUGCAGGCUGUCAAGCUUUCCCCACUGGAAUGGCAGCUCUGCUGCACAGGGUACAUGAGCAAUUGCUCUUGUUUUUAACAUGUGGGAUCAUGAGUUGCUGGGGUUGAAAAAUACUGUCAGAAUGAAAAUACAGGAGGCUGACUGAGAAAUCAGUGAGUAUACUACCUGGAUGCUCCAAAUUUAGAUAUCGUAAUUGAUAAGGGAUGUAAAAUAGAUGACUCUUUUUUCAAGCCAAAAGAUAUUCUGUUAGCGUGAUGCAAUCUGUGUUUGUUUUAAGAAUACAGCUGUGUUUUACAGUCAGGUGUGCACCAGUAUGCGCAGGCACAUGUGAACGGAAUAACUGCAGUGUUCCAGCACUGCCAGGAGUUAGGUGCUGUAGGAAGCUGGCAGUAUGGAAUGUACUAUCAGCUCCAGGGUCAAGCACAGUGCCUUUACAAUAGCAUGGAAGUCUGAGUGGAGCUGGGUGAGAAUGUUUUCCCCUACAUAAAUGUGCAGGUGGUAAAUAUAAGUUCACAAUCCCCAUAUUUUCCUUUAUUUUCUUUUAUUUCUUUAAGCUGAAGGGGAAAAAAGGGCGGGAGGGGGAAUGGGUUUUCUACGGAAGGAAAAGUUCUUGGGAGGACAAAGCUCUAUGCAUGCUCUAAAGGUUAAUGGAUACAAGGAGCUGCUGAGCACAAGGUGUGUGUGGUGGGUAGAAGGGGUUCACAGAGGGCCAGGUGGGGUCACCUGGGGCCAGGACAUUUGGGAGCUCAGGGAGCUUCAGUGGACAGGGUGGGCGAUUACUGUCAUGAAGAGACACAACCUAAUUCCCCAGAAAACCAACAGACAAGCACAUGCUCAAGGCCAAUGCCAUGGCCCUGGGUUUGUUCCACGCCGCCGCUCCUCAGGCUGUGGUGCCGAGUCGGCGCUGCCCUGCCCCAGUGUGGCUCUGCCUGGAGGCACGGGGGUGCCUGGGACAGCAGCUCCGGCACCCCGCUGGCUGGGGCUGGGGCUCUGGGCCGGGCCGGGUGCCUGGGACAGCAGCUCCGGCACCCCGCUGGCUGGGGCUGGGGCUCUGGGCCGGGCCGGUGCCUGGGACAGCAGCUCCGGCACCGCGCUGGCUGCUGGCCAGGGGCUCUGGGCCGGGCCGGUGCCUGGGACAGCAGCUCCGGCACCCCGCUCGCUGCUGGCCAGGGGCUCUGGGCCGGGCCGGGCCGGGUGCCGGCCUGAGCAGCCCCGCGGGCUCUGCGCGGCUCCGCCCGGCCCGGCCCGGCUCGGCCCGAGGGGUGCGGCUCCAUGGCAUUAGCCGGGCCCGGGCCCUCAGCCUUGCGCUUCCUCUUUCAUAUGCACAAAGUACAGCGUGGUGUAAGAGGGUGUGCGUGGACGGAAACUGAGGAAGCCAGGGAAUUCUUUUCUAUGGUAAAUAUUUAUAUUAUUUAGACUAAUACAGUCUUAAACGUUGAAUGAUUUUUUUUCUCCCUCAUAAAUUUGGUAUUACCUUUAGAAUAUGAGAGCAGGAACUCACUGGAAAUAAUAAGAGAGAGGUCUUGGUUAAAGAAACUGCAGCUAAGGACCUCUUUCUUUUGGAACAUCCAAUCUUUCUACUGAUGGAUUCCAAAUAGCUACUCUAAAGCUCCAUGAGACUGAGUAUGAUUUCCAAAGGAUAUAUCCCUACAAUGAUUUAAGCCUGAUAUUCACCACACAAAAGCUUUUGUUGCAUUAAACAAAUCCCUGCAGUUCUCUGGCUUAACUUGCUGCUCAGUGGAAAGCUGGGGACACCAGAUUGGCAAGUGGGUGCAGAAAGGUAGAGGGAAUUGGUCUGAUGAGCUGAGGAGUCACAAUCCGAUACCGUGACCCUUGCUGCGCCCUCCCUGCCCAGCGCUGCUCUUCCAGGCAGGAUUCAAGCCUCUGAUACCUCAGUUUUCCUGCCCAAUUACAUGAAAUGAGAUCAGGAAAAAAACUGUUUACUACAGCAUGUUCUAGUUUUUGGAUCCAAACAGAUUGCUGUACAUUGGGUGUGAAACUCCCUAAUGUUUUAGAAAUUAUGCUGGAACGUCUCUGACUGACAGCUCUGAGCAAAGCACUUUCUGAGGUUAUGUAAAUGCCUAAAAAGAAAUCUAACCCCAGAUCUUAGUUGUGUAGCAGAUUUGAGUCCUGUGAAUUCUAGGCACUGCCAGAUUUUAAAGCCCUGCUGCUACCUUACAUAAAUACUCAUAAAUACUUACAGUAAGUGUCCUAAAAAGAUCUUUGGUUGCCCAAGUGAGCUAGAAGAAAGCAUUGCAGAGCUGCCCCAUCUCUUCUGGUCACAAAGAACAUGCAAUCUGCCCAGGGCUGCUUCAGCAAGAGUUGGGAACCUGCCCCUUCACGUCCAGAUAGAGCUGUACAUACCAGGGAUCGUAUCCCAGGCGGAGGAAGGAAGUUGUUUUCAUCUAUGAUGCCCAGUAACAGGGCAAAGAGACCUUUCCUUCUGUGUCUGUGCUCUAGCAUGACGCAGAAACAAUUUUAACACAUGUUUAUAAAUUCCACCCGAGUGUUGCAGCCCUUGCUAUGAAUCUCAAAAGUGUGUUCAAGAUUUAUUAGUAUUGGGCUGCUUCUGACACAAGGGAUGUGUGGGACAAAGAGCAGCAGCUUCUGUGUUAUAAGGAAGCACAAAAACCAUGUCAGUACACUUGUAAUUUUUUGCUUCUAAAUGUUGCUAUCCAAAUGCCAUUGUACUUGCAACUAUUCUGUGUGCAUUAAAUCUGAGGUGCAGAACCCUAUCUCAUAUUAAAAAUGUGAAAGUAACAUUAUAAUCUCUUUAAUGUUUUUGUAAGAACCGUUGUUAGCUCUUAUAGCCUUGUCCUUUGUAUGACUUAAGGCGGAAAACCAAGAGUUGCUGCAUUUUAAAAAGUUCAGAAAGAUGUGCUUAACUUAAUAGAAGUCUUUAUUUCCUGGGUUUGAAUAGGUAUGUAAAAACAAGGGGAUUGAAUAAUUGCAAAGUUGGUGUGAUAGAGCACACUAAAUAAUGGCUGUGAUUAAUUUUGUAGAAUUGUUAAUGAAUAAUUGGCAAAAUGUUUUCCGUACGCAGCAACUUCUAGAAUGAGCUGACUCAUUAUUGCAUUUAAGGAGUGGUACCUUGAGUUGUCAUCCGAUGCCUAUUAAAAAUGGCAAUUGAUUUUUUGUUUUGGAGAGAUUGAGUUAGGGUCCUAAAGGACCUGUGACGUUUUCCAAACAAAAUGCCUGUUGUUUCCUUAGUUCUUUGCUGCUUAUCCCAGACUAGGUAAGAAAUCAACUGUGAAUUACAGCACUACCCACUUCUCCUCUUCUGAAGGGAACAGAGGAGAGGGACAGAACACUUGAGCAAAGGGAAAAGCUAGAGGAGGAACAGGGCAGAAAGGAAUGACUGGAAAAGAGAAGAAAUGGAGAAAAAAGCAGAAAGGAAAGAGAAGCAAAAGGAGACAAGGGAAUGGAAAGUCAGAGAGCAUGGGGACUCACGUGGCCCAUGGCUGCCCUGAUGAGCUGCUGCUGGUCACGGGCCCUGGCUGAUGUUCAUCCACGGUCAGCUGGCCCAAGGUCUACAAGGAACAUGAGUAAGCACCAGUUCCCAGCUAAAUCUCAGCAGGUUUACUGCUUACCAACCCGUGACAAAAGAUGAAGUUAUGUCCUAUCUGGCCACACACUGGGCUGUAGGUCCUCUUUUAUUUUAUUUAUUUUUUUCUGAGAGGAGACCUAGCUGAUGUUUCUUGCUACUCUCAAAAAGGAAAAAAAAAUCAGUGGUUGUGAUUUAGAGGAGCUAAGUAUUUAAAAUAAACUAUACAUUCAUAUAAAGUGAUUUCAUAUAAAAAUUGAGUGAUAACCAGAUGACUGAAAUCAAUGCAUCCUUAUCAAAGGCCAAAGAUUAUUUUGUAUGGUGUUUACACACUAUUUCUGCUCUCACUGUACCCUCUUACAGAUUUACAGAUGGGGACAAUGAAAAAAAUAUGUUCCAUGCAAUUACUUGCUGCUGCCUUAUAAAAAGCCAAAUCCAGUAAACUUCAAUAUGGAGUAAACUAAUAGUGUCCUUGUGAAUGAGUAACCUGAGGAGUUUUGUCCUACUACUGAUAGUAAAAGAAGACCUGUCAAUGAGAUUCAGCCUUCAUAAAAAAAUAGGUUAAGAUAAGAUUUGAAAGAGUUUGGCUUGGCAUUUCCAACCAGUUGAGAAUGAAUUCUGGACUUGGGUUGGCAAGAGUUAAGAGCAUAUCUUCUGUAAAUCUUUGUUUUCUGCUUUGGAGAGUCCAGUAUACUUGUCCUCUGGUAAUCAGAAACAUCUCCUACCCUCACACAAACAGUAGGUAUCUGAUAAAAGCUCUGAUCACAAUUUGUGCUUUGCUUUCCUCAUCAUCAAUGCAAUUUUAAAAUCAUGUUUCAGAGGAAGUCCAUCCAUGCACUGAGCAGGAAUAACCCAUCGGGUCUGAGCAGGAAGAGUUAACGUCCUAGACACAGUGCUUUGUACAAAGCAAAGAAUAUAAAGAAUAUUCCAGGAAAGCCAUAAAGAGAGAUGAUGAGUAAUUAUUUCUGGGAUGUUAAAAAUACUGUUGUGCUUCCAAGUUGCUGCGUGAGCCUGACUGCAGUGUCUGGCUCAGGGUGACUCUGGGGAUGGCACUUUCACAGAUAUCAGCAAUGCAGAGUAGUCCCAAGCAGGUCCUGAAACUUUAACAUGUGAUGAGGCCAGAAGGUAGUUUGGUGCAGUGAUAAUGAUUUAUUUAAUGCAACUUAUGUGUGUAAAGAUGCAUCUGAGAGAGUGUGGGUCUGCCAAGAGCACUUUCUUGGACACCACAGUGAUCAGUCCAGGCUGGAGGUUGAAGGCUUGAGUAGAGGUCUGUUGGAUCAAGCUACUAAUUUUUAGUGGGUUUGAGCUGUUCUUAAAUAAACUUUCCUUAGUUAGGGUGGCACCGCUAUGUCUACUUCCUACUGAGCAAUAGGAAGACAGAAAGAGCAUCUACAACAGUAAUAGUUUUACACAAAUUGAUUUAAUGUCUGGAAUAACUGGAAGCUUUCAGAGCUUGGAUGAGGGAUGAAGGAGGUGGACAGAAAGAGGUGGAGACAGAGAGGAAGAAAUCUCAGCCAGCUGCAGACAAAGGAGAAAUGUGUCUGUUUUCGUCUGUCAGCUGAAGCACACCAUGUUGCUCAUAGGAGCAGGGAAUGGUUGUGGCACACCUAUGAAGCCAUUCUUGACUUUGUGACCUGUUUAGUGACAGGAGAACAGCCCCUGGGUGAGGUGGGUGUGCUGCCUUUUACACCCUUUCAAUGUCUCACUCCACAACUGGGACCCACCACAGGGUCCUUCGGGCUGUGGUUUACUGAAUGGUCUGCUAAGGGGCCUAAUUACAGUCUCAAAUUCCCAAAGGUUUUUCUAUUCUGUCUAAAAUAUUUAUGUCUGCAACAAUUCAGACCUGUUUAUGUAUCUUUUUUUUGCCUGCUGGGUAAAAAGUAGUCUGGCUUUUACAAUGUGUCUCUAUACAGGGUUUUAGUAGCUUGGAUUGCUUUUAUAUGUUUAUAAUGAAAGUAACAGCCCCUUAAAAAUUGGAUUAUUGAUCAUGGGAAGACAGUAGGUAUUUUUAAUCUUAGGAGAAAGAUUACAAAUAAAUCAAAUUAUAUGAAGUAUUUUAUUUAAAGGCAUUUGAUUUUAUUAAAACUGCUACAUCUGGUGUUUGUAUAAAUAGAAUAAUUCUGUUUCUUCAUAUGAGGGUUCAGAGAAAACCAUGGUAGGAGUUAGUGCUUCUCACUCAGUAAAUUGCACUGAUGUCAAUAAAUCAAAAUUUAACUCUUCCCAAAUUGCAAAAAAACCACUGAAAGAUUAAAAAGUAAGGAUUUGGAUGGCUGUAAAAUUCCCAUUUCAGCUGAUAAAUUAUCCACAGGAGUUGUGAUCUUUACAUGAUGCACUGAAAAUGUAGGAUACCAUCAUGUUCACCUUUAUGUACACCCAUACAUACAUACGAUGUGUAGCUGAGUAUGUGUGUAAGUGUUUGCAUAUUUCUGAACCUAAAUACCUACAUACACAUUGCACUGCAAUGAAGCACCAAGGGCUGCUUUUGGCCCUGCAGUCUGUGCCACUUCUGUGGAUGUCCUGUCCCACCAGUACCUGUAGCAGUCUUUUCGAUUGUCCUGCUUGGGAUGUGGCUCUUCCCGCCCUAGUGAUGAUGAACUGCAGCACACACACCCUUCCUGUCCUUGUUAUCACCAGGUGUCUGAAUUUGGGGGUUUGUUUGCAUGUUCCAGAUGUUUGCUCUGCCAGAUUUGAACACAGGAAUGUGAGGCCAGUGGGCUGAGCCUCAUGAAGCGGAGAAGAGAAGCAUUUAGCCUGGAAUUUAUAUCUUCCAUCAUUUCCAAGGGUGAGGCAGAAAACUGGUUUCUCCCUGGGAGAAGUCAACCAAAGAGGAACUGUGCCUUCAAGGAGGUGGGACAGUGUGAAUGCCAUUGGUCUUUGUCAUUAAUCAGCUCUCUUCAAGCUCGAUGAGGGGCUGACAGGAUCUGUCGAUUAAAUCUCAUGCCUUCAAAAGACAGGAACAAAAUCACCACUGUAAUGUUUGGCAAAGCAAAAUGUUUUUGUUUGCUGGCAAGGGUUUAACUCACGUGCAGCCCUGCUGCCCUCUUAGGAUGUCAAAGAAAGAGGCUUUGCAAGUCAAAUGCUGCCUGCCUUACCAGCCUGUCUUACCCCAGUGAUGAAGUGCUCCAGCAUCAGAAGUCACCUUCUGUGUUCAGCUGAGCUCAACUGGAACCGUGCUCUCUGGCUGUGCUGUUAAGUGGCUCUGAAGAUGUUACAGGUGCAGAGCUGUGCUGCUGUGUUUCAAGUGAUCAUAAAAACUCACGGGAUAAAUUGAAAAAGUGUGACUUUUCAUUGUAGCAAGCUUGGACUGGAUAAGCAACUCCAUCAUUGUGCUAAGGCAGCAGAUGCAGUCAGUGUUUGGAGGAAAUGGUUCAUGACCUGAUUAUACUUUCCAAGAGCUUCAAUGAGGAAAAAAAAGAUGCUGGAGGCUUCUCAUGUCAGAAUAACACUGGUGGGACAGGCAAGGGAAGCAGAAGGAUCAGACAGUGGGAGAGAAUGAACAGAAAGGUGCAAUGCAAGCAGAAAACCCCUUUGCCAUGCUUCAAGCUUACUGUUACACUCAAAGAUGUGGGACAAAAAGCAAGAGCUUCAGGAAAAGCCCUUUCCUGAGGACCAGCAGAGCAUGCCAGGAGGGUGCUGCAGCCAUUGUCUCUGCAGCUAAAAUGAAGAGCAAAGCCACAAUCUGAUGGGGUUGGGCUGCAGCAGAUUCAAGAUCUGGAUCACCCUGAGAGUUGGGUCUGAUGGGUCUCCAGAACCAAGGAAGGCCCUCAGGCAUUCUCUCCAGAUGGGGAUUCACAACCAGCUGGGAUAGGGUGCUACUGGAUGCUGGGAUGGACUCGCCCCAGAAGCAUCACAUCACAGCUGCUCCUUAGCCAAGCACGCGUGGAUGGGCUGUCAGGAGAGCGUUUCGGUCGGUGAGCAGCUUGCCCUGGGAAUGUGUGGUGCUGGUCCUGAGUGUGAGCCGUGACCUGUGCAGGGCCCAGGGCAGAGGGCCAGGAUGCUGCCCAGGGACUUGACCCUGAAGAAGGGCAGCUCUGAGUCUCAGCAAAAGCCAAGCUGGUCUUGCAUAAAUUCUCUGGUGGUUUAGGCCGGCCAAAUUAAACAUGUCCCGUACCUUGUCUUUGUCACAGCUUUGACAGAAGUCCCAGCUGUGGCUCAGAGCUGCCCCUGUUCAGGGCACUUGCUGGGGCAGGAAAGGGCAGACAUGGAGCCUGCCACUGUCAGGGCUUGGCCAUCAUGCUCCCACUGAGGUGACUCACUGAGGAGCCCUUGGGCAGCAGGUGGACACAGCCUCUGUUCCCUGCUGACCCAAUCCAUGCAGCUGUGCUGGAGCCAUGGCUACUCCCUGGAAGGAGAGAGGUAUCAGAGAGGGGAAGAGUGUGGACUGGGAGAAGGGAGAAGGUGAUAAACCAGCUCUUCAAGGCAGGGGUGAGGUUGAAUGCUGUGGUGAGCUGCUCUACCUGACAGGACUUGUCCUGCCAAGGGUAGGUCAUCUUUCCUUUGACUCAAGAGGGUGUUGGGGGGUGCUUGCUAGGCCCAGAAACCAGUCAGUGCUUCACUGGGUCUUUACAUGGUCAGUUGUGGUAUGUUCUGCUGCCCUGUGAUCUGCAAUUUCUAUUUUAUUAUUUAGGUGAGCUCUGGCUCUUGCUGUCUCAGGGGAAUUUCACCUAAGUAAAUGCUGGGAAAAUUUCUCUUUAUUCAAAUCAUAAGCACAAACACCUUUGACAUAAUUUUUCACUGUAGUACUUUGUAUAGGUUCUUUUUAAAGAAGUUAAUAAAGCUGGCAGCACAACUCCAUUGACUCUCAGCAGAACACCUCUCUCAUUCCUGAGGUCCCUUUCAUAACCAGUUAUAUUAGCACCAUUUGUUAGCAUCCUGCUUUUCUCUUCAGUAUUGCCACGCAAUGUGCCUUCUUUUGUAGUACCUAAAGCUUGUGAGAUAACUCAGUUUGCCUCCCAGUGGGGGAGAAGGUAUCUGUAAUCUGUGUUUUGUGUCUCGGGUAUCUUGAAAGGACGAGAAAUCCCAAAUGCAGUAACUUGUGGGUUUUCUGUCUUAGAGAAUUAGGAUGUCUUUGCAUUACUGAGCAGGCAAACAGUGAGCAGUACUUGAUCAAUAAGAGGCAUUGCCAGAGGUCUGCUAUAGUCUACCACAGCUGACGGUAAGUGUUGCUAUAGGCUAUGGAACUAGGAAUAUAAAAUGUCAAAUGACAGUAAUAAUUCAUGCAUCCUGGGACAUAUAAAACCAACAGCAUGUCAAUAGCUGUGGCAUACUCUGCAGAAAAUAUGCAGGAUUUAGACAUUGCAGGAGUCUGUUUUAUUUUAAACUACACUUUCCUUGAUGAAAUAUAGACUUUCCCUGUUUGUUAAAAGCAUUUAUUUUCAGUUUCAUGUUGCUACUACUCUAUUAACAUUCUAAGAGCCACACAGCUCAAAGGGGGCCCUGAGAUUCAAAAAGCAAAAUAUAUGUAUUUACUGAAGAAAAACACAUAAAAUAUUUAUAAAACAGAGGGUGCAAUACUAUUUGAGAUUCAUGGACCAUUUCAGCAUACAUAAAAGCAAAUAUGGUUCUCUUGUUGGUUUCACCUGGAAUCAGACUUUACUAGAGAGGUUGCCCAGGAGGGACCUGUCUUAAAAUGAAACUUAUUACAAUCAUUAAUUUUACAUGGAAAAUCAUUAAAUUUUACAUGGAAAGCAGAAUGUCUUGUGAAAUAAGUGAGAACUUCUCCAAUAUUCAUCUUCUUUAAAAAUACUUCAGGAUAAUUAGUAUCACUUUUCUUUUACAAAAAUAUAUGAGAGGGUGAAUUACUGCAUCUGGGAGGGCAUAGCAGGCAUAAGAGGAAAGAUUGUGUGUAUCUGAUACUUGUUUUCCCCUGUGCCCCUGCUGCUUGGGAACCUAAAAGUGAUGGGUGCUGUUUUACUGGCUAAGGCUCCCACAAAAAUUCUUCAGAUGAAACUUUAACGAGAGAAGGGUAAAAAUGUAUUUGAGCAGCCCCAUUCUUAUGCUUUCAGGUGUUUGCUCCUGAGCACCUCAGCUGUGGGUUGUCAAGCCUCAAUUUCUGUACAUUUGCUUGAAAGUAGAAGGGCAAGACAGAAAAGUUGCAUGUCCCUCAUGAUUAUAUGAAUAUAGGGCUUAAUAUACCGGUAAUACUUCUAAAAGAAUGUAAAAUAUUAACUGAAAAAAGAGAAAAGGAAAAGCAUCACACAAAGAAAUCCACUACGCAUUAUUUAGAUCUCCCCCUGCGAGAGGCUGAGGAUUCAAACACGUAUGAGUCGUCUGCUCUUCCAUGUGAUAGCAGCCCUUCUGCUUCAGCGUUGCACAGUCCUAGCUCUCAGUUGUCUACUUGAGAAUUUUUUUUAAGUUAUAUAUUCAAAAAAAAAGAUCUUAAAUAUAAUUUCCAUUAUUUGAAGACCAUAAAGUGAUUUUGGUGCAGUGGACUGUACCUAUAUAGACAGGCACUAAUAGAUAUUUUGGCACAUCUUGCUGAAGCUAGCUUGAGAUGGAGAUUAUUAAAAUAAAUAAAAAGCAAAAUUAAUCCUCCUAAAUGUCUGAGACCUAAGAAAAGGGAUGUCUUUGUUCUGACGAGAACAUCUUGGCUCGUUCUGCUCCUUUGGCUUGGUUUGGGGAGGAUGUAUUUAACAGUCCUCCCAUGGUACUUGGCAAAUAUAAAGCUGUCACAUUGGAUCCUGCUUCUCUUUGUAUUAAAAGAAUGUCUAUGGUGUUUAUGUUAUGGGAAAAAAGCGCUAUUUCUACUUAUUGUAUUUUCAUUGUCUCUUUUCUUAUGACUGUACUGUUUGCCAGCAGCCAAGGGGCCACUUUGAUGCUUGCUUUGAUGCCAUGGUUUAUUGUGUUGCACAGUUGAGCCUAUGGUUUUCCUUUCAAAUCAGAGCUGGCAUACUGGGUGGAAAAAAAAAAAAAACCAAACCAAAAAUAAAGCUUUUCUAUAAUUAUGGUUAUCUCAUAAAGUCUGCAUUUGUUACAGCUGCUGGGGUGUUGGAAAUCAGUGUUUGUAAAUACCUAUAUAUUCUGAUUUGUUUUCAGCCUCAGAGAUGUUUUUGUCUGUCUGUGUUCCUCACCCCUGGCCAUUCAUGCAAGCAGCCUUCCCUACCUGCACGCCGAGCUGCACUGCCUCGGGAAGAUACCAGCCUGUUACCCAGCUUAUCUGCAUGGUACUGCUUCACCUUGUUCCCUCUUCUCACUCUGAGGGAUUAGCAUCCAAAGAAAAACAAAUUAGUCUUGUAUCAAUUCACCCAGGAAAGCGAGUAGCUAAACCGACCAGAAGGUUCCUGCUGGCAGAACUGAGUGCAGAAGGAGGCUGGCAGGGUGUGUUCUUUGAGUGCUGCCCAGCUCCACCACGCUCUCUCAGAGGCCCACAGGGACACCAUGGGUCCUGCUAUGGGGAUCCAGACUCUCCUGUACCCACAGGAAGCCUCACUUGCUGGCUCCGUGCUCCACGUGGCAGUGCCAGUUAGGAUGUGUGUAAUACCUGCUUGGAUGUGUCUGUUGCUUUUCUCCAUAUGUCUUGUGGUCAUCUGAGAGCUGAUGAGGAACCAUUCUGUUUCCAUUCUGCUGAUGGAAAAGGAGAGGCUUUGAGAGGCUGAGUGAUUUGUCCAGGAUUAUGCAGCAGAUCAAUGGGAGAAAAGGGGAUCAGGCCAUUCCACACAGGAGUGCCUUUAGCUGUCCCAUGGGCUUUCUAGGGAAAGGCAUGCAGGUCCCCAAAGGGGCCGCCUCCAGCAGUGUUCCUCCAUUAUUUCUAUCAGAUUAUUGCUGUGAACAGUGGAGAAAUGCAAAAUGUAUUAUUCAUUUCUCCUACUUCUAAAAUCAAUAGCUAUCAAAAUACAAAUACAAUUUAAAUCAAAAGGCACUUAUUGAGUGCAGAUCCUACUAAUUAGGUAUGAUUUCCUAACAAUUUCUUAAAUUAUUUAUCCAAGGGAUGGGUGGAAAGCACUUUAUAUGUCCCAAAGUGAAUAUUAUAAACCUCUUGUGAUGAUACAGAAAAUGUGAAAUGUAGUGCAAUGCAGUGUGAUUUGUAACCUUGAUGAACUAAUGUAAUAUCAAUAGACAUCAAUCUGUGCAAAAAAAAAACUCUGUCUCAUCAUAACAUCUAACAAGAUAUGUCAAAAGUCAAUAACCUUGUGAAAUGGACACGUAACAGACUUUGCUGCUAGGAAUCAAUUAAAAAUGUAAUACCCACUUGCAAUGGAAAUUACUACACCACACCAAAAAGGAGGUUUGCAUCAUGCAUGGACAUUUGUCAUAAGGGCAGCUCCCUUCAGGCUGGCUGUUGGCUCUGUAAGCAAUUCCACUGUAAUAGAUGGCUUUUUUUUUUUCUUAUGCUGGUAUUGCUUAGUUUAGCCCCAUAAUCAACAUGCAAAAAUAUUUAUGUCAUAUCCAGUUAAAUAUAUUUUUAAAACCCAUACAGAAGAGCCAAUGGUUUUGAAGAUUUUUGUGUAAAAAUUAGAAAGCAGCUCUCCUGUUAAAUGAAAGAUUUACAAUUGUCAGUCAAUAAUGUAGAUCAAUGUUCUUCAAUUUUUAAUCAUAAGGAUUUUUCUCAACGAUUUUUCUUCUUUGGAUCCUAAUUUUCAAACUUAUACUCCCAUCCAUACAGCAGAUCUUAAGGUUCCACCACACCAACCAUGUGUCAAGUGAAAUUCUUGGUCCCAUCAUAUUGAUACCCACUCACCAAAUGCUUUCAAAUCAGUGAUUUGAAAUAAGAGUAUGAAAUAUUAUAUAUGUUUUCUCCUCAGUUUUUGAAAUUGAUUGAUAAAAUAUUCACUUUUUAGGCAUUUUACUUUACCAUUGUCCUCUGAUAAUAAUUUCAGGGCAAGUGUAACUUUGAGGCCAAAACUAAAUAUUUGAAUGGGGAGGGAGGUCCUAUGGCUUCAAAGACAGCAGCAUGUGAGAGGCUGAAGUAAAACUAUCAGAGUAAUUCAGGGCUUAAACUUUUAGCUUGGUGCUUUUUUCUGUAGCCUUAAUGGUGAUCAGCUCCCGGGAAAGCCAUCAUGAGCCCGAGCAAAAAGCUGUAGUGGUCCGAAGUGCCUGUGAGGUUCAGCUGCUGCAGGCAGCCCGCGAUCGCACGGCAGCUCGGCAGUGCUUCAGUGCAAUUGUGCAACCGGGGAUUCAAGGCAGAGCCAUAAUUCAGAAUUUCAUGGCAUUUUAAAGCACAAGUCAGAAUUUUAAUGGUAUUUCAACCUUCCUUAUUAGCUGCACAGUAAGUGUCUUUCAGCCAGUGUUCUGCAAAUUCCUUCCUGGUGGUCUGUAAAAGACACGGCUUGAAAUCAGAGCAUUGGAGGUGAAUGCCGGGUGUGUGGAAAUGGAUCUUGAAUUGGUGGGAGGAAUAAGGAAUUCUGAAAAAGCACUGCAAUAAGAUUGCAUGGGAUAAUAAGGGUAGUAGCAAAAAGUUUAAAUAAGUAUGACAUGAGUAAAUUGGAUAAUAAGAUAAAAUCAACUUCAGUUAUUCAGCUUGUAUUUUUGUUGGUUUUAAUUAAUGAAAGUUUGUCUGGCAGGUACGGAAACAAAGUUCAAUCUCAGAGUGUUUGCAUUAGAGCUCCUAGCUGCAUCAAGUGAAAACAGGCAAUACUGCAUUUGAUGUUUUGCAUUUUCUCAUUCUGUUUGAAUGUGAAUGAGCUAUCUGGAAGGAAUAUCCAACAUUGCAGAUACUGUUUAGUGAUAUAUUCUUCUUAUCUUCUUUUCUUCUGUCUAAUGCCUUUCAUACAUGCUUAAAAACUAUGUGGUUGUAUAUGUGAUUGUAUAUUAGUGACUGCAAAGGUUACCUAAAUUGAGACCAUGGACUAAUUUUAUUUUAAAUGCAGGGUAGAAGCACAUCUGUUUCAAACAGAUUUGUGAAAUGCCUUUUGUAAGUUCAAAUCACAUACAGUAAUGACCACUUGAGUAAGCUCCUACACACACAGUACUAACAAAUGCAUCUAUAAAAUGUCACUUGCAUUUUGGUGUUCUGAAGUAGGUUCGUCCUCUCCAUUGCCCUGGAAGAUUCAGCCCUCUGCUAUUGUGUAGAGGAUACUAAAGAAAAGGAUGUGUUCUUCCUCAUGGAGGAUGUGUUAUCUACUGCAUAACUGUACUUGAUAUAUAUUUUGUAUUUUGCCUGAGUCUCCCUUUGAGAGAGGCAUAAGAUUUUUCUGAGUUGUAACUAACGCUGUUUUCUAGCCAUGAAUUGUUAUAAUUAUAUAAGAUUAUGAAUAUAAGUGAGGUAAUAAAACCAAAACAAACAGUCUAGACUAUAUCUCUGGAUUGUAUUCAUAGGUGAGAAGUGUGUGGUUUUGCUGUAUAUCACAUUGAUUUCAGAGGGUAAAGUUUGGGUUUUUCCACAGAUGUCCUUUUCAAAGAUAAAGGUGUGUACAUCCUGCAGGUGUCUACAGUGGGCAAACUGAAAGCAAAAAAAUAGAAAUGUGUUCAUUCAACAAAUUUCUACUGUAAGUUAUUUUGCCUUAAACUGUGGAAGGAUCAAAGAAAAGCUUUGCAGAACAGCUUCUCCGUCAUGGAGCUGGGGUGGCAGAGGAUUGCAGCGGUGCUGCCUGGCCUCUGCUGAGGUGCAAUCUGUCCUGCACUUGUCUUGUGAAGCAGGAAAGUGCUGUUAUAUUUAAUUUUAAGAGAGAGAGAGCUAAGACAUGGACAGAAACCACGGGACUUGUCUGCACACCUAAGGGAACUCUGCAGAAGCUGAGGAGUUGAAGAAAGCUGUGUGGAGGCCACAGCUAAUAACCUAAACCAUUAGACCAUUCUCAUAAAAUCUGUGUUGCCAAGUCUGUUGCCACUGAAAUCUGAAAUCAAACAUUAGCAGCCAAGAACAUCAUGCUAAUUAAUUGCCUCAGGAGGACACAAUUUCCAAGAUCUAAUGAAAGAUGGAAAUCCAGCUCCCAUAUGUCCCAUUUGAUAGCCCAAGAAAACACGGACACAUGUUCAAAGAAACAGUGACAAAUGUCCAAGUACUUGUGUCUCAGCUGAAUAAAACUAAUCACCAGGCCCAGGGAUAGAAAUGGCUGCACAACAGAACCUAGCCUGAAAAGCCAGCCCAGGAUGUUGCUGACAAACCAUUUUCAUUCAGAAUGUUGAAGGCAGCUUCAGAUGGUGACAGCUGAGCACCACAGCCCCUCUGUUCUACCCACAGAACAGCAUUACUCCUGCCUUGCAUGCAGCUGCCUUGUCAUGGUGCUGGUUUAUUUUAAAAAAUAAUAAUUAGGAACAAAAAAAGUUAGCAUGUCACAUUCUUGACAAAAUACUGGGGAGAAGACAGAGGCAUCAGUGUAGUCACAGAUGUGUGCCAGGGCUGCCUUGCAGUGCUAUAAGCUUGUUGAACUUGACAUUCCUGCAGAUGGGAUGUUAGUGCCAGGAUGGCAGUGGUGCUUAGCCCCAGGGAAGCAGGGAGGGCUGACCCUGGCCAGCCUCAGCCCCCCCGGGAGAGGCAGGCCUGCCUGGCUGUGCAAGCAGAGCCCCGUUGUGAAUGGCAAUGCCCUAUCUCUGUGUGGCUCUGAGCUAUAUGGAAUUGUUCAGCCAGCUUAAAGACAUAAUGUUUCUUUUAAAUAUUUCUUGUUUGAAGGAUCCUUACAUGCAUGAGAAGGUCUGUACUAUGUAAAGACCACAUGCUAUUGUGGCUGCACUCACAGUCUGCCACAUUUCAGGAGUCGUUUCUGUGCACGGGAAGCUCCUGCUCUCACCUGCUUUGCUGGUGUGAGGUGUUUCACACAAUUCCAGGUUUGUUUGGAUAGAGUUGGAUGAUCAGCUUAUUGUAUCAGACCUGACCAUGAGGCUGCUUGCCACAGCCUGACUGCCAUGCUCAGGUAGGGAAUGUCUUGGUGCCCAGCGAGCAGACUGGGAAGCCCAGUGCAGACAGGGAAGGAACACAGCUAUAGAGCAGGGUUGUGACAGGCCUUGGUGUCUAAUCCAGGAUUUCCGAGUGACCCCUUAUCCACACAAACUUCAUUAGCAUUUGCUAAGUGGUCAAUCCUUGGAAGCAUACAAAAAAAUUUCACUUUCCUCUUUUACUUUUUACAUAUGAUUCAUGUGAAACUUCUAAUCUAAAAAGAGUAUCUUGACUCCCUGUUUAGUAAAAAUGGGCAUGAGGAAAGCAGGUGCAAAUUGCACAGCAAAUUUUCACUCUUAAGUAUUGAAGAAAAUAUAUUUUAUUCUGUCUAUCCUGAGGAGAUUAAAGGAAAAAAAAUAGGAGGGUCGAGGUAAGUAAUUGUAGAACACUAUCUAUUGUGUAUUUCCUCAAGAUCACUCCUGUUGUACAGAAUAGUGGCAUUUCUGAACUUCAGUAACUUCCACCACACAAAGGCACAGCAUUUUGACAGGACUCAGUAAAUUAUUUAAAAUCACAAGGGCCAUUAUGCAGACUGUGUGAUAAAGUUAGAGGUAGGGUAUUUUUCUGCAAUUGGUCUUCAAUUUCAUUCUAGAUUUUAGGUAACAUAAAGCUCAAAAGGAGUUCCUAGUGCUACUCUCCCAGAGAUGAGAUCAACACUUAUGACGACAUGUUUUGAUGGCACAGCUCAGAAAAUGGAAGGGAUUAUUAUUAUGGAAGGACCAGGGUGAUAAGUACUGUGUUAUAUAUUAAUAACUGUCAGUCAGACAAGCCAAGAAAGGUCAUAAUCCAUUAUAUUAUGUCAUAAAUGUUAUCAUAAACUGACAUCAGGAUGGGAAACUGGGAUUCUUGCGCUUUUUAAAGUGCUGCUGUUCUUAAAUGACACUGUCCUAGAAAGACAUGUUGAUAUUAAUUUUUCUUUCAAAAUAAAAGACUUUAAUGAUUUUCAGCAAAACAGAAGUAGUAUUUUAAAUAUUUGUUUGGAGUUUUUAAUUUUUUUUUUUUAAGAAACUGACUGAAUUAUCACAACAGUAUCCAAGAUACCAUGAACAGAUGAGAGAGGAGAGACACAAUAAUUUCUGAAUAUUUACUGUCCCCUCUCCUUUAUUUGAACGGUAACUUUCACAUUUCAUUCAGACACCCUCUGGGGCCAUUCCAGCUGAGGGUAAGAUAAGGAGGGAGGCAGAGGUGGAAGUUCCUGGCCUGGCUGCUGACCACCCCAAAUCAGAACUGCACCUUUCUGGAAUUCACUCCCUUGACACUAAUAUUUUUUCCCAAUAUCAGAUAUGAACUGGGGUGAUAGUCAGGAAUGUAUGACAGAGAAAAAAGACAAUAGGAAUCAUAUUUUAUGUCUUUUGAUGCCCAGAGAGAGCAGGCAGCUCAGUGGAUGUUACCAGUGCAUGACUCCUCUGAUUUAGCCCAGGCUCCCAGAGGAGGAUCACCAGGGAUUCAAAUGAGACUUUGUUCUUGCCAGCACCACAAGUGCAGAUCCAUUGCUGACCGCUUACAAGCCAGCAGUAAAUUACUGUCACUUAGGUUGGGCUGUUCCCAACACAGGCUCCCAAGUGAGAGUGAGGGAGGGGAGCUCUGAGCCCAUGCAAAACCAAAGCCUUGUGUCCACACUCACUAACACUGCAAAUUCUACAAACUGUGUAAUGCUGAAAUGUGGGUGCGUCGGGGGUGAAACAACUGGACCACUCGUCUCCAGCUUUGGGGGGAAUGGUAUGGUAAACUCCAGAAAUGCAAGAGGAACUAAGGUGAAUUUUCACAUCCCACACAGAAGCCAAAGGAAAAAAGCAGGGUAAGUACUUCUGGAAGGUGCCGUGCUGUAUUUUCUUGACCACAUCAGAUCAGAGCUAUGGUUUUAUGUCAGAACUUAGAAUUGCACAUGUCCAGCAGACUCCUGCAGAUGAAUGGUUGUGGUACCACUGCUGUGGGCAGGAGACAGCACCGGUGAGUCACUGCAGCACUUCCUGCAGGAGCUGCCUGUCUGCAGUGCAUCCACUGCACUGCUGAUGGAGUGGGGCUUGCCAAAAUCACCCAUCUAGUCUAGCUUGUACAACCUACAAAUAAGCCAUGUUUGUACCAUGCAGGUAAAAUGUUCAGGGUGAAACCAGUGUGGGCUAACUUGAAUUGUAUAAAUAACUGCAAAUCAUUACUCCAAAUGAGAGCAUAAUGUCUGGAACCACAGGCAGGAAAAUACAUUUACAGACUAUCAAAUUAUCUUGGGAUAAUAGUGUAAUGCUUUUCACUGCUGUACUUUGUGUUCUUAUAGCUGAGCAAAGAAUACUACAGCUGGAAAAGGCUCUGAAUUUCAAAGAGAAGAGAUUUCAUAAGUAGAGUCCUUCCACAUAAGAGACUGCCUUUUCUGUGUUAUUUUAGUGGAACAUUAGAAAACCCCCAGCAAACAAAAAUUAUUUUUUAUGACUUGGAACUACACAGAAUAACAUCUGAUGAUAAACAAACUUUUAGACAAUUUGUCUAUUUUAUAAUAUAACCUGCAAAGUGCUUCCUUGUUCAUAUGAGGUUACUUAUCCCUGUGAUUGCAACAAAAUGCUUUUGAUCAAAUGUGUUUUCAGAACUGGCAUAACCAAAUCAAGUAGCUAAGCUGCUAUAUCAGUUUGCAUGCACAAGUGCUGUUUGAGUAUAGAAUUUUUGGAGCACAUUUUUAGAGAAAACAGAGUGCCCUUUGAAAUCUUGGAACUAAAGCUAUAUAAAUGCCCUAAUGCUGUUUAUGAUGUCUGUGGAAAUAUAUGACACUCAAAGUGCUUUUAGGAUGUUCCAAAGUAUAUCAAAGAGCAUUAACUUCAGCACAGCUGGGAAUGUCCCCAGAUUCACUUAUGAAUGCAUGUUUCUUAUAUCCUCUAUAUUAACUAUAGCUACAUACAAGGCCACACUUUAUAGCCUUGCUCAUUGAGAAUAAUCCACAGAGUAAGCCUAUUAGGUAAGGUUUAGCAUCUACAUUUUUCUGCUCACAUCUGCUUGCCUGACAUAUAUAAUCUGCCUGGAUGUCACAGUUUACAUCCUAUUUUCAUUGGAUGAUAAUGAAACUUGAUCAGUGUCUUCAUAUCCUUCUCUGUCCCUCCAAGAAAUAUUUCUGCUUGUCAGCUCCCCCUUACCAGGACUCUGGUGUGACCCUGAGCCAGGUCCUUUAUUAAAGGGUAGUGCAUGCAAGGCUUGAAGGCAACUGUGCAAUUUAUCUUUGUGCAAAAUGCGUGCAGAAAGUGCUACUUACAAUACAAUAAGGAAAUAAAAAGUGAUAUAGCAAUUUCCUAACCUGAAUUUUCUGUACUUCCAUUUCUCUCACAAAGCUCUGGCGUAUCACUGUUUUAGUAGCAAUAAGUCAGUAUUUGCUUUCUGAAGAUUUACGUUUCUGCUGAAGUCUUAUGAAACUGAACUGUAGGCACCUCAGUAAUUUUAGAACAGCUUAGUCUGAGAGGUAAAUUAAAAUUAGGGAAAAUUAGACCAUUUUUAAUGAGAUGGUUAUUACACUGAAUAAUGAUGAUUAUUGCUUCUGCUUAAUAAAACUGUCAGCCAGUGCAAAAUAUAUAUUAAGGGAAAUUGCAUUACAUUAUAUUUUUAUCAACUCAGAAAUUUGGUGUGUUGCUUUCCCAAAAACCAUGGAAAUAAUGAAAUUUUAGUCAGAGCUUCCUUUUCCAAAUAGGAUCAAACAUGGAGCUUUCGGAAACAGCCCUUUAAAGCCCUGAUGUAAAUCCCAUUAAAUCUAAUGUUUGUGAAGAUUUCUGCUGACUCCUGUGCCAUGAAGAUCAGGACUUCACUAAAGUGAGCUGUGUUCCCCCUGUUGUCUCUACUAAAUACCUAGAUAAGACCACACAGUGAGUGCACGCUGAGCUCAAUGCUUGCUGGCACACCUGCUUUUCUCUUCUGAUUUACCUGGCAAAUUAGGAGAUGAACUCCAUAGGGUGAGAUACACUGUUAUUCCCAAGGUGAAAACAAAGAGGAGUAUUACCUAUUAUCUACUAUAAUCAAUGUAAAAAUUAAAUCCUUGCUGUGGAAACCUUGACAUGGAGGCUUCAGACACUUAGAGGUGAGGCACCUCCCCAGAAGCCUGUCCAGAGAUAUAAAUGACCAGGAAAUUUGAGUGCUGAGCAUUUUUCUAUUUAAAAGUAGGCACAAUAUCUAAUGCUGCCUUCAGCAGGAGCUGCUAUCCUGAGGAAUGGGAUCUGGGGUGGCUCUUUCCUCUGUGUUGGGAGUCUACAUGCCAUAAACUGCCAAAUGGGCCAAAAGAAGGGAGGUGGGAAGUGAAGAGUGCAUUCCUACUACCACCCCUUCUCUGUGUAGGGUUCAAUCUAAAAGGAUAUGUUUUUGUGGAAUAAUUUAUAUAAACUAAGCCACACUUUUCUUACAGAAAGGUGUUUAUUGCAACUGCAGUAUAUUACAGAUUCUGAGAGAGAUCAAAUAAGCAGCAAAAACUGCAUGACUCAAUACAUGCCUGGGCCAUCUGAACCAGGGAGCAAGGGCACAAAGGUGAGCGAGUGGUGCAUGUUAAAACCUGGAGAAACAGAUUUACCAUAUAAUUUUAUUUUUUGAGAGCACUAUUCCUCAUACAAAGAGCAAUGUAUUAUCUUAAAUGAGGUUGAUAACAUGAUUAAUAAAUCACAACACAUGUGUUUCUUAGGUUUUCAUCACAUUUUGAAACGUUUACUAAUCAACAAGAUUUCUCCUUUUAUGAAGCCCAUUUUGUAGAGUUCCAUAAAACAGGUUCAACAGUCACAAUUUAAUUAGCAUUAUAUUGUUGCCAUGGUAAUGUGGUACCAAUUCAAUGGAUGGGCUUUUCAUCCUGGGCUCAUAGAAUUGCUCUUCCUGUAAAAAAUACAUCUAUAUGGAAACAGCAAACAGACCUUACCACUGGAGUACAAGCACAAAAUAUCACAUGCUAAUUUGGCUAGAAAUGAAUCAUAGCAGCAGACCCAGAAAUCAUCAGAAACAUGGUAGAAGUCACUACACACCAUACAUGGCAAAGUCACACUUCAAAAUUAGGGAAGUUCCACACAUUCAUUGAUGCAGUAUCUGAAUGUGUUAUUUCAAAAGCACUUGGCUGUACUGUGAUCAUUCUCUGAAAUUCUGUUAGGAGGGCACAGUGCAACUGGGAAUAUUGGAGGAAACAAAAGCAGUAACACACUAAAGAAUAAAAUGUGAGCUGAAGGUGUGUUGGUCCUUCUCCCAUUUGCGUGUUCUGCAGCAUGUUCUGGGCUAAUUGCUGCCAAAUGCAACACCUUGUUUCUCUGGUCUGUAAAAUUGGGAUAGUGCCCCCUCUGCCCCUGUGCAGGGUACCUGGUGUAUACCAAAUAGUGAGUGAUGGCUGGUAUUGCUGAACACUGUCAUUAAGUGAAGUAGAAAUGCUUUUAACAGCUCUGGGAAAAUGCACUGCACAGAUGUACAAUUUGAGAAAUGUCACUGGGAGGAUCUGGACUCACCCAGGGCAACGCAGAAGAGGUGACAGACUGAGCAGGUAACAGUACAUACCAACUUAUGGGGGAAGGACACUCACAUCAUUAAAACAUCAUGACAGUUCAUAAUUAAAAAAAAAAUAAAUAUUGUAGACUACAGGAGAAGUAUCUGCAGCAAUCUGAGCAAGGAAUACAAUAAACAGCAAUACAAUAUAAGGCAACAAUGGGGUGGCUUGUUUAUAAUAUGUUAAAAUACUUUCUUGUGUAUUUGCACUGUUUUUUAUGAUAGUUUCCUAUUUAGAUAGGAAAAAUCUUUUACCAUCCUGACACAUAAUGUUCAGUCUAUCAUUUCUUAGCUUAAUCAUAUUGUGUCCUUUGUAGCAACAAGGGUAAAUUGCAGACAGGGUAGUAUUCAGUAUAAUCAAAGAUGUGUUCCACUUUACAUGAUAAGUUUUGUCUGAUUUACAAAAGCAGUAUCUUCUCCAGCUGAGUGAGGAAAGAGAGACCUUAACUUGCAGAUAAAAAAAUUCAUCCAUUAGGAUGCUAUUGUUCACACACACAAACAUAACGUUGUUACCACUAUUAUCUAUUUAUUUACUUUUACCAUGAUAUAGCAACUGGACUCAACUGAGACUGGGACCUACUUGGCUAGGCACAGCAAAACCACACAGAGUGCUGCAGUUUCUCCUUCAGACAAUGUAUAAGCCACAAGAGAGGACAGAGAGGAAAGAAAGAGAGAGGGAGAGACAGCUUAAGUAAUUAACUCUCUAGGUCAGAGAAGUCAGUGGCAGAAGCAACACAGAUCUCCAGUCCCUGUACUCUCCAUUGGGAUGCCUGUCCUGGUGGGUGAAGGAUAUAUUUGGAGAUAUCCUCCACCACAUUCUGAGGGUUCACACUCAUACACAGAGACAUGCUUUACACCCUAAUUUCAGUGGCUGCAUCUGUGUCUGAACAGGCGCAGCCUGAGGCAAAGCUUGAAGUCAGCUGUGAAGCCCACCCCUAUUACCUAUUAAAACACCUUCAGGCUGGCUCCAGGGCAAUCCUGUUAAUCCUCUCAGGGACAAAGGCUUAGGGAUACCCUAUGGUUUUUUUUUUUUUGAGCAUGUCAAGGGCACCAGGGUCAGGGUACCUGCCAGGGAAAUAUUAAUGGGUUUCAACACCACAACUGAAGCAAUAGGGAUCAGGCUUUCUUCCUUUGGAGAAGGGACUUCCAAAUUCAAGCUUGAACAGAUGGAGGGAGGGGGAAAAAGACAGGAGAUUUUGGUCACAAGAGUAAGAAGUCAGUUUACUUCAGAAUUUGAAAGCUUUGAUCAGGAAUAUCUUCGAUUAGGAAAGCAUUGGCUUGGAGAUUUUCUAGCUUUCUCCUAUCUCUGUCUCUCAAAAAUCCAUAUAAAGUAAACCCAUUAGGCUCUCGGUGAAGAGACAUUCAUCUUCUGGUCGGUAAAUACUUUCUUAUGCUGUGUGGUGCCUGCUGACUUUACUGCUGUUGCAGCCUUUUAAAAUGCUUCCAGUAAAUCUCAUUCAAUUUUAACAUUAAUUUUUUUUUAUUAAGGAAUCUGAAGAGAGUUUAUAAUAAUCCAAAUUUAACUUUUUAAUAAAAACAGCAAAUAAUAGGCUAGCAUAGAUUUGAUUUCAUAUACAUAUCUGAUAAAAAUUAGAUCUGUAGUAAAAUUUGUUAGCUGUGAGUCUGUUGUCAUCAUAUUAAUGACUAUAAAAGCUGGCAGCUUCAAAAUGGCAAUAUUACAGUAAGCCUACUUUUUUAUAAUGGUUUUGUGUUGUGCAUUCCAUAUUGAUGAAGAUUAAGAUUUAGCAUGCAGAAGUAAUAUCCAUUAUGAUGGGAUUGUCCACAGUGAAUUGAGUAGGACAUUUGCUUAAUUAAAAGUAUUUAUCUUAGAUGAUUUAAGACAUAUGUCCUACUACUGAACUGAUGAUGUAAAUUAAUUUCUUAUAAUCAGUUCACCACUGAUGACUCCUUAUACUAAAUAGAAGAAGAAAAAGGUAAGAGAAGAGUCAGAGGAAAAUAAUAGAUGCCACUGCCAGAGAAUUUAAAAGAACUUCAGAAAUAAUGAUUAACUAACACUAUGGCUUGAGCAGGAAAUAUACAUAAUCACACCCCUAAUGCAGAGAUCUAAUAGAGCCCUAAAAGGCUGCACUUCAAGCAGAAAUUUUGGAGAUGAAAAUAUGAACACAUACCCAGAUUCCCUCUCCUAUCCACUGUAGCUGUGCCUACAGCUGGCACAGAGGCACUGGCGUUUGCAGGACAGAGCUUGGGGACAAGAGGUGGCACAGAGCCCGUGGUGGGUGAAGCCCUGUGACGUGGUGUGGGGUGUCCUGCAGGGGCUGGGCAGGGCAUUUCCCUGGCUUUGGGCAGGGGCUGGGAGCUGAACUGCUGGGGCUGGCAGAAUGGAGAGCAAGGCCAGAAUGCCAGUGAGGACAGGAACCAGUGUGAUCUGCUCCUCAGGGUGGUUUUGUGUUUAUAAAGACAUACUGGGUGGUUUAAUUCCUUAUACAAAUAUACUUUCAAGGGAGAACCCCAAUGGGUGGAAUGUUUCAGCCUCUCUCAAUUUUACAGUCCUACAGCCUAAGUUUCCUGGACUAGUCCACCUUCCUUCCUUCCUCGCCAAAUGACUCAUGGAAAGCUGUUGAUCUUCAGUCUAUGGAGAGAUUCAAACAUCAGCAACUUUCUGGGGGUGCUGCUACAAGGUGAGCCUCGGACUCUGCCUGCGGUCUGUGCUCCCAGAUGACAGCCCCACGAUGGCAGAUGGAGGGACAUCCACGCACUGCACUGGGCAUUGGCUGCUCCCAGAGCUGCCACAUGCCAUGGGACCCCCAGCUGCUGGAUGCCUGACCCAGCUCCGCUGCUGCUGGAGAUGUGUUGGGGCUGGCUCAGCCCUGCUUGCUGCUGCCUGUCUGCCUUAUUCUUCUGAGUUAUGCCCCAGCCUGCUCCUGUGCUGUUGUGCUGUCCUGUUGGUGUGCCUCCGGGCUGUAUUGAGUUUUCAAUUAUCACAAUGUACAGUGCAGAUGCUAUGCAAAACAGCCAGUGUGGCUGAGCAUGCUGAACUCAGGAGAAACACAGUUAAAUAAAAGUACUACUAUAAUACCAGGAGGCUGAUUGGAACCACAAGAUACCAGUGUCAUAUCCUGUGGCUUUUAUGUUGGUUGAUGUAGAUUUCAGACAUUAGAAUCUAGCUAUCCAACAGAUAACAACUAGAGGAAAUGGAUCUGGGUAUCUUCAGUUGUGAGUAACUGAUACACACUUGCCAAUAAAUGCAGAACCUGGUAAACUGCAGAAGAAAGAAAGAAAAGAUUUAUAUUUGAGAUACCUACAAAUAUAUAUGGAUAUAUAGAGAGCUCUGACUUUAGAGAAACAAGGUGUGGUUACUUGUCAAUUCCAAAUUCAAGCAAGGAAAUAAACAGCAAGUGCAGGUCUCAAUUUCUCUAUUUGUGCAUGCAGUAACAAGCUCCCAGAUGAUAAUGAUAUUGAGAUAUCUAUGUGGGGGUAAAAGACUAUGACAAAAAAGCAAGAAAUAAGCAAUAAAUACAAUAAUGUCAGACUUUCCUGUUAUUAACUUCCAGAAAAGCUCAACAGCUGGAAUUUUAAAAUGUUUUACGUAGACAAAUGUAAAGAGAACAACACGUUAAAUGUGGUUUUUUUCCAAAGGAAAAUUAAAUAGGGCAUACAGAGAAAAUUAUUAUAUUUAGUACUCUCAGGGCAAAUUCUAGUUAAGGACUAUGAAAUAAUUUGAAAAUAGUAAUGAUUUAGCCUCACAGCUAGCUUUCAGGGAGAUAAUAAUGAUAAUUAUUAUUAUAAAUAAAUAGUAUCAUUCUUGCUUAGAAGAAUGGAAUAUUGAUGCCUAGAGAAUUCUGUAUUUGUCCAAAAUACAGAAUACAUUUUUCUGUGUUUUACUACUGUAACCAUCCUCCUCAAGAACUAUUAUAUAUUAAGAUUCUCCUUUUCAAAAUACUCUUUGAUAUACUACUCAGUUUAUCAGUUCUGAAAACCAACAAAACAAGCUUUCUUGUGAAAAAGUGCCAGUCAACAUCUCCAUUUGCAUGUGAAUUCUCUAGCAGAAACAGUUCUGGUUAAAAAAAAAAAAAAAAAAAAAAAAAGUAAAAAAAAGAUGAAGAAGAAGAGAAAAGGAAUCAUGAAAAUCAGUACAAAAUCUGUCAAGGCCCCAUCUGUGACUGGGUAUCAGAAUAUCACUAAGAAGCUCCGAGGAACAAAGUUCAUUCCAAGUCUAACACAUAGAGAAUUUUGGUUGAUGAAAUUAAUUCAAGCAGGAAGAAAUGAGAGCGCAUACCAUGAAAAACUCUGUUCCUCCACUGAGGAUCGAAGACAAGAAGCAUCACUGUGUGUGGUCUUGGUUUUGGUGCACAAAGCCAUGCUUAAACAGUACAAUAAUCAGUGUGCUCAUGUCUCGUUUUGAUAGCCAGCUGCUGCUCUGAGGAGUGCCAGGGAAUGAGGCACCUCUGGUCCUAACAAGAUGAGGACCCCGAUUACAUAUGAUUGUUGCAAAAAGGAAGAUUUGCAACCAGCUACCUGAAGUAGUAUGGAAACAAAAUUAUAGUCUCCACCCUGGCCUUGAAAAUCCCUCUACAAACAUGUUUAUUUUCUUCUGAAUGGGAAUAUAUAAAGGCUGGGGACACUUAUUUGUAGGCUAUUUAUAUCUCCUCUUCAGGAUCUGAAUCUUGCAUAUUAAUGAACUACACAAAACAGGAAAACCAAACAUUAACACCAUUCUAAUGCAGCAUACUAUUUUUCUUUCCCUUUUUUUUAACUGUUAGAGUAUGCAAAUGUUCAGUUAACUGGUCCUCAUGUUUUCUCUUUAUUGAAUUGCUUUCACUGUGGCAAAUAAAUAUUCAUAAAGAAAUGUGGACAAUAAAUCAUUUCAAAUAGUUCAAAGCCA